CUUUACUAUAGCUUCACAUUGGUAUUGGGAGAAUGAUGUGUAGGAUAGGUGGGAGGCGUUGAUCCAGGGCCGCUAGGUUUUGGGGAGCCAACGGUGAAAUACCACCCUUUAUUUUCUUGAUGCCUAACCCUGCCUGGCAGGGGACAUUGUGUGGUGGGUAGUUUGACUGGGGUGGUCGCCUCCGAAAGUGUAUCGGAGGCUUUCAAAGGUACCCUCAGUACGGUUGGUAAUCGUACGUGGAGUGCAAUAGCAUAAGGGUGCUUGACUGUGAGACUGACGAGUCGAGCAGGGACGAAAGUUGGAUAUAGUGAUCCGGUGGUUCUGCAUGGAAGGGCCAUCGCUCAAAGGAUAAAAGGUA
rnacentral:rRNA from 1 species